GUGAUUUAUGAAACAAUAAUAGCAUCAUCCAAACACGGUGUUGACGGUUAUUUACACGGUUGCAGGAAGAGGAAGAGGAAAUUUUUUUCAUUAAAAGGUUAGAAAGCAAAAUAAUCAAUUAUUUCAUUGGAUGUGUGAGUAGAAAAAGGAUUAAUGAAGUGGAUUCAGCGGAAAAUAUAUCUUUACAAUGUGACUUUUGGUCUUUAUAUGCUCGACUGGUGGGAACGUUAUCUCUUCAAUACAUUGGUGCUUGUAUUGUUGUGGUUUAUUUGUCUUAACGCCUCGAAAUAUGCUUCCCAGAUUUUCAAAAGGUUGUAGACUUUGUAUUUGGUAAAGCUUUUGAGAAGCAUUGGAUUCGUGAUACUUAAAGAAAAUUCACGGGGUUCUUGGUGAUAGCAUUAUGUAAAUGUUAUUGUGAAAGCUGAUUGGUAAUGUCAGACAAGACAAUUUAGUUUGGGAAGUUGAAGAUGCAACUUUCCCGUAAUAUAACCUGAGUGUGAAUGGAUGUGAUAAAUCAAGCCUAUACUACAAGGCAGAUGUGGUGAAAGUUCAUGAGCUUUACAAGACCGUUGUUAAUUGUAACUAGAAAACGUGUGGUCUUUUGGCGUGUAAUCUCUAGAAAUGAUUCAUGUCGUAAGGAAUACUCUCGUUAAAUGUUCCCUUCCUUUUGUUUGUGAACCAAGAUGUAUAUCUGGAGAAGCAGUAGUGAUCCAGAUUGAAGAAUGCUUUGAAAUUGGUUAGUCAAUUUGGGGCCAGUGGUUAGUCGAAA